GGGCUCGUGGUCUAGUGGCUAUGACGCCGCCCUCACAAGGCGGUGGUCGCGGGUUCGAAUCCCGCCGAGCCCACCA
rnacentral:tRNA from 3 species